UGUGUAACUCCUAGUUGAGUGUGAAGACCUGAGGUAUCAGGGGUAGGGGUUGCUCUGCUUGUGUAAGUCCCAUAGUGUGAAGGCCAGAGAACCAAGAGAUGGUCAAGAAGAGAGAGUAAGUGUCCAAUGUCCCAGCUCAAGAAGAGAGACAAGACCAACCCCGCCUCUUCCUUCUCCUUCUCGACCUACUCAAAGUAAAGAUGAGGAUGAAGACCCUUAAGAUGAUCCACUCCCACUUAAUGAAUAAAACUUUUGUGGAUAGCUAAGUUACUGCUAGCCAUCUGAUUAUAGCAAUGGCUUCCAGGAGCAUCACGACCUGUGCAGACUCCCCAGCAUCAUAACAGGAAGGUCCCACGAUCACGAGCACAUUGCCUUCAGCAUCCAGCACUGAAUAUGGUGAAUUGCACUCUGAAGAGCUUCCUAAGCUUGUAAGAAAGUGAUUCUGAAAAGCUCAACAUUUUGGUAGAAUGGAGAGAUUUGACAUUGCUUCUGCUCCAAAAGCAAAAGACUUGGCUUAGGUGACUGCAGCAAGAGAUGUCCAGAGUCUCAACAUUGGGUGAUUGAAGAGCAGAAAGACUGGCAUGAAAUAUCUGUCAACAUAGCUCAACAAGGAAUCAGGAAGAGAGAGUCUUCAAGAUGGCUGACUAGAGGCAUCUGGUACUUGCCUCCUCCACAAAGAAGAACCAAAAUAGCAAGUAUAUUAUUACACUUCGAAUAGAUCAUCUAAGAAAGAACACUGGAAUUCAACCAAGAAGUGGCAAUAAAUACCUAAGGCAAGGAA
ensembl:lncRNA LINC01584 long intergenic non-protein coding RNA 1584